GUGAAAUCACAUGAGAUUUUUGCUUUCCCCUCCCCUAUGCGAUCUCAAAUAAAAAAAAUAUCUGAUGCAUGAUGGGAUUGAAAAAUCUGUGAUACAAUCAAUCUGUCAACAUAUGUUCAUCCCAGAAGCAGUGUUUAGACGUGUAUGGAAGGUGAAUAUUCUUCGUAUCAAUCAUGACAAAUGAGAUGAAAGAAGGCAUCCCCAAUGCAAAAUGCAACGUCACAGCGUUAUCAAUCUUUCCGCAAAGUUUCCAGCAGGAAAACUGGUAUUUUAUUUCUUUAAUCUAGGUGGUCUUAUGAAAUUGAUAUUUCUGCAAAUACUAA